GACGAACCUGACAAACGUUAUUCGGAAUUACUGGGCUUAAAGGGUGCGUAGGCGGCGCGACACGUUGGGUGUGAAAUCCCUCGGCUCAACCGAGGAACUGCGCUCAAUACUGUCGUGCUCGAGGGAGACAGAGGUGAGCGGAACUUAGGGUGGAGCGGUGAAAUGCGUUGAUAUCAUCUGGAAUACCGGAGGCGAAGGCGGCUCACUGGGGGUUUUCUGACGCUGAGGAACGAAAGCCAGGGUAGCGAACGGG
rnacentral:rRNA from 1 species